GAUGAACGCUGGCGGCGUGCCUAAUACAUGCAAGUCGAGCGAACAGAUAAGGAGCUUGCUCCUUUGACGUUAGCGGCGGACGGGUGAGUAACACGUGGAUAACCUACCUAUAAGACUGGGAUAACUUCGGGAAACCGGAGCUAAUACCGGAUAACAUAUUGAACCGCAUGGUUCAAUAGUGAAAGGCGGCUUUGCUGUCACUUAUAGAUGGAUCCGCGCCGUAUUAGCUAGUUGGUAAGGUAACGGCUUACCAAGGCAACGAUACGUAGCCGACCUGAGAGGGUGAUCGGCCACACUAGAACUGAGACACGGUCCAGGCUCCUACGGGAGGCAGCAGUAGGGAAUCUUCCGCAAUGGGCGAAAGCCUGACGGAGCAACGCCGCGUGAGUGAUGAAGGUCUUCGGAUCGUAAAACUCUGUUAUCAGGGAAGAACAAAUGUGUAAGUAACUGUGCACAUCUUGACGGUACCUGAUCAGAAAGCCACGGCUAACUACGUG
rnacentral:rRNA from 1 species